AUGUCCGUACUUCGAUUUUUUAAACAAGAGGGAUUUUUAUAUAUCUCACAAAGGGAGAAUACCGGGGCUCUGCAGCUCUUUGCUAGUAAAGUACAUUGGUUUCAGCCCGUCUGGUGUUUCACGCUCUUUGACCGUGAUAACACGGGCGGUUGUGAAAGGACCCGUUUGAGGUGGAGGAGGGCUUGCCCGCACUCUUCGGUCCACUUGAAAGUCACCUCUUUAUGCAAGAGUUUAAAAAGGAGUGCGUGUUGUGCGGACUUCGCCACAAAGCGGGAGAGCGAGGUGAGCAUGCCGUUCAAGACUUGUAUGAAUUUUUUUCAGAGUUUGGCGUGGGAAGCUCGAAACCUUGACUACCCUUGA